CUCUCCUGAUGACUCUUCUCUUCCUGACUGGCUCCAGUGAUGAGUAAACCUGAGCCUCUAAGAAGUUGACUGAAGAGG
rnacentral:snoRNA from 1 species